rnacentral:rRNA from 1 species
AGAGUUUGAUCAUGGCUCAGAAUGAACGCUGGCGGCGUGCCUAAGACAUGCAAGUCGUACGACAAAGCCCGCAAGGGUGAGUAGAGUGGCGCACGGGUGAGUAAUAUUUAGGUAACAUGCCUCUUCGCUGGGGAUAACUGGGGGAAACUUCAGCUAAUACCGAAUGAUUCCGUCGAAACUGCGGUUUUGAUGGAUAAAGCCGUAAGGCGCGAAGAGAGUGGCCUAAAUCCCAUUAGCUAGUUGGUAGGGUAAUGGCCUACCAAGGCUUUGAUGGGUAGCUGGUCUGAGAGGACGGCCAGCCACACUGGUACUGGAAUACGGACCAGACUCCUACGGGAGGCAGCAGUUAGGAAUAUUGCGCAAUGGACGAAAGUCUGACGCAGCGACGCCGCGUGAGGGAUGAAGGCCUUCGGGUUGUAAACCUCUUUUAGCAGGGAAGAAAAAAAUGACGGUACCUGCAGAAAAAGCACCGGCUAACUCUGUGCCAGCAGCCGCGGUAAUACAGAGGGUGCAAGCGUUAUUCGGAAUUACUGGGCGUAAAGAGCGUGUAGGCUGUUUAUUAAGUCUGGUGUGAAAUCCCUGGGCCCAAUCCAGGAAGUGCAUUGGAUACUGAUAGACUUGAGUGCAGGAGAGGUAAGCGGAAUUCCAGGUGUAGAGGUGAAAUUCGUAGAUAUCUGGAGGAACAACAGUGGCGAAGGCGGCUUACUGGACUGCAACUGACGCUAAGGCGCGAAAGCGUGGGGAGCAAACAGGAUUAGAUACCCUAGUAGUCC